GAUGAACGCUAGCGAUAGGCUUAACACAUGCAAGUCGAGGGCAGCAUGGUCUUAGCUUGCUAAGACUGAUGGCGACCGGCGCACGGGUGCGUAACGCGUAUGCAACUUGCCACACAGAGGGGGAUAACCCGUCGAAAGACGGACUAAUACCGCGUACACUUACAGGAGGGCAUCCUUCGGUAAGGAAAUGAAAUUCGCUGUGAGAUAGGCAUGCGUCCCAUUAGCUAGUUGGUGAGGUAACGGCUCACCAAGGCAACGAUGGGUAGGGGAACUGAGAGGUUGAACCCCCACACUGGUACUGAGACACGGACCAGACUCCUACGGGAGGCAGCAGUGAGGAAUAUUGGUCAAUGGGCGAGAGCCUGAACCAGCCAAGUCGCGUGAAGGAUGACUGUCUUAUGGAUUGUAAACUUCUUUUGUAGGGGAAUAAAGAGGGGCACGUGUGCCUCAGUGAAUGUACCCUACGAAU
rnacentral:rRNA from 1 species